rnacentral:rRNA from 1 species
AGUGAACGCUGGCGGUAGGCCUAACACAUGCAAGUCGAACGGCAGCACAGUAAGAGCUUGCUCUUACGGGUGGCGAGUGGCGGACGGGUGAGGAAUACAUCGGAAUCUACUUUUUCGUGGGGGAUAACGUAGGGAAACUUACGCUAAUACCGCAUACGACCUACGGGUGAAAGCAGGGGAUCUUCCGACCUUGCGCGAUUGAAUGAGCCGAUGUCGGAUUAGCUAGGUGGCGGGGUAAAGGCCCACCAAGGCGACGAUCCGUAGCUGGUCUGAGAGGAUGAUCAGCCACACUGGAACUGAGACACGGUCCAGACUCCUACGGGAGGCAGCAGUGGGGAAUAUUGGACAAUGGGCGCAAGCCUGAUCCAGCCAUACCGCGUGGGUGAAGAAGGCCUUCGGGUUGUAAAGCCCUUUUGUUGGGAAAGAAAAGCAGCAGGUUAAUACCCCGCUGUUCUGACGGUACCCAAAGAAUAAGCACCGGCUAACUUCGUG